rnacentral:tmRNA from 1 species
AACGCAGAAGAAAAUUUUGCAUUAGCUGCAUAAGCUACGUCCCUCAUACUUGUGCCUACCAAGUGUGAAUGGACGUCAAACAGUAGGCUGGUCUAAUUUAGUUGUUCAUAUGAAUUAGGCGAGACAAUAUGAACUGGGGUUGUGUAGCUUGUCUGUGAGCGAUAGCAACCCGAGAUCUCAAUCAUAGACUGUGCUCGGAGAAGUCUAUAUGGCAACACUCUUGGACAGGGGUUCGACUCCCCUCAUCUCCACCA